CACGUAGGGCGCGAGCGUUGUCCGGAAUUAUUGGGCGUAGAGAGCUCGUAGGCGGCCUGUUGCGUCCGCUGUGAAAGCCCGGGGCUUAACCCCGGGUCGGCAGUGGAUACGGGCAGGCUAGAGGUAGGUAGGGGAGAAUGGAAUUCCCGGUGUAGCGGUGAAAUGCGCAGAUAUCGGGAGGAACACCGGUGGCGAAGGCGGUUCUCUGGGCCGGUACUGACGCUGAGGAGCGAAAGCGUGGGGAGCGAACAGG
rnacentral:rRNA from 1 species